rnacentral:lncRNA from 1 species
UCGGCUAACGCAGGGCUGCUUUUGCGCUACUCGGACCCUGAUUGCCUAGGGAACCACCAUGGGCGAUGGGUUCGUGGCGCAGAGCAGCAUGGAGGAGGAAGAAGCUGCCUGCCGUUGCCUCGAAGAAAAUGGCUAAGGUGAGGCGCUAUGGACGCAUUCACAUCCUAAUCGGCUCCUUUUGCACGUUUGCCACUAGCGUGUUUUUCAGCCCAUGGAGGAAAAGGAGAAUGCUGCUGUGUGGGCCCCGUUCCUCAUGUUUGACCUCGUUGCUUGGGCCAGCCGCCAGCCUCCGGUUCUGGUAUGCAAAAGUCCAACUUCCCUAUGCAAUACGACUAUACAUUUUAGCUGUUGUAUAUCCUUGUCUAGGAUCUCGUCACCUCGCUUUGGAAGUUGGUGUUGAAUACUGCGCCAUGCCCGUAUAAUAAUUCACCAGCUACGUAUAUCUAUGCAUAUCUUUCUGGCUCAUUGGUACGACCCUGACGCUCAGGAAAACCAAACUGUAAACUAUCAACAACUUACUGUCAGUAUUUGCAUGUCACCGGCGAAAAUCGACAGCCAUUGACAUGAUAGCCGUUGAUAGAUUCUCACCGCUAGCGCGCGGAAUAGGAAAAUUAUUUACUGGAAAAAAAGGAGUUAGGUCGUAUUUUUUUCAGCUGUCAUUUGAAAAAAUUGUGCCCUUACACGUGGAGCUUCUUUGCUGAGAAGGCGGGUUUCUUUCAUUAUUGAACAGGGAAAGAAAGGCGGGCGUCGUCGUCGACGCAUGAAAGGAACCGGUGCUGAAGAUUCCAGCGUCUGCAAGGCACUUCUCUUCUUUUUCCGCUAGUGGUAGGUACAUGUAGAGAGCACUUGGAGCUUAUCUCUGGGAUGGAGCGCGCACAUAAUCUGAUCUGAUAAAGCAAUCAAUGAUUAACGUCGUCGUCGAACGUCGUUGAUGUGUGUGGGUGCGUGGUUUGAUUGCUCAACUCAAAGGCGGAUAAUGGCGAGAUUUGGUGUGAGGCGCGGCCCGUAGACCCGCACUAGUUCGCAGAUUUUGAGUGCAGUUCUUCUGCUUCAUUACCUUUUUUCAAAUUAUGUAUGCAGUUUCUCUUCCUUUUGUUUUGUUUUUGCAUGUACCUUUUCUUUCUACCUGUUGGUCGAAAUACGCCGGAAAGGUAUUUUUGGGAGUGGGUGGGUACCCCGUUCUUGACCCUGCCCGAGGCGUUUACUUUUUGGAGCUCCGUUGGGGAGGGAGAGGGAGGGGUGAUGUGCACGUCUGCAGGAAGCUUUUCUUUCCGGUUUGUUUUCCUCCUUUGGACCUACCGAGAGUAUGACCUAGAGGCCACCUCCUCUCUGACCCAUGCACGGAUCACGACAAGAAAACACACAUCAAGCAGCGAGCUAGCGUAGCGUGCGUGGGAUUCAAUUCGAGAUGGCCACUUGAGCAAAAGUCGCCGGAGGCUGUAGCAGCCAUGGAGCUGUGAGCUGCAUGCAUGUGCUGUCGCACAUUCCAGUCUACGUUGAUGGAUCCAUCGAUCCACGUAGAGAUAUGGAUCAAACUACUAAAUGCCAUCCACGGAGUACCAUCUUCUUAUUUUUGCGGGGAGAAGAUGCCAUCCAUCCACUAUCUGCAAGUGAG